UGGGGAAUAUUGGACAAUGGGCGAAAGCCUGAUCCAGCCAUGCCGCGUGUGUGAAGAAGGUCUUCGGAUUGUAAAGCACUUUAAGUUGGGAGGAAGGGCAUUAACCUAAUACGUUAGUGUUUUGACGUUACCGACAGAAUAAGCACCGGCUAACUCUGUGCCAGCAGCCGCGGUAAUACAGAGGGUGCAAGCGUUAAUCGGAAUUACUGGGCGUAAAGCGCGCGUAGGUGGUUUGUUAAGUUGGAUGUGAAAUCCCCGGGCUCAACCUGGGAACUGCAUUCAAAACUGACUGACUAGAGUAUGGUAGAGGGUGGUGGAAUUUCCUGUGUAGCGUUGAAAUGCGUAGAUAUAGUAAGGAACACCAGUGGCGAAGGCGACCACCUGGACUAAUACUGACACUGAGGUGCGAAAGCGUGGGGAGCAAACA
rnacentral:rRNA from 1 species